AAGGAGCUUACGGGACGGUUUUCAAAGGGGUGAUAUUCGAUGGCGAAAGAACAGUAGCCGUCAAGAGACUGGAAAAAGUGGUGGCCGAAGGUGAAAGAGAUUUCCUGAAUGAAAUGAAAGCCAUCGGGAAAACACAUCACAAGAACCUCGUUCGAUUGCUCGGUUAUUGCUACGACGGGACUAAUAGGCUUCUGGUUUACGAGUACAUGAAAAACGGUUCUCUUGCAGAUUUUCUUUUCAAAUCGAGAUUAAAGGUAAAUUGGGAAAGAAGAGUCGAAGUAGUAUUGAGUAUAGCGAGAGGACUUUGUUACUUGCAUGAAGAAUGCGAGACUCGGAUUAUCCAUUGCGAUAUCAAACCCGAAAACAUCCUAAUGGACGACAAAGGGUACGCGAAAAUUGCAGAUUUUGGAGUAGCCAAGCUAUUGAUGCCUAACCAAUCUAGGACAUACACCGAAAUCCGAGGGACGAGGGGAUACGUUGCCCCAGAGUGGCAUCGAAACUUACCAAUAACCGUGAAAGCCGAUGUUUAUAGCUUCGGAAUAAUGCUGUUCGAGAUCAUUUGUUGUAGAAGGAGUAUGGAAACGGAUGUUCCGGAAAACGAACAAGUUCUUGCAUACUGGGCACAUGAUUGUUUCAAGGCUAAUGAAGUGGAGAAGCUGGUGCAAAAUGAAUUUGUGGAGAAGAGUAAAUUGGAGAAGAUGGUUAAGGUCGGAUUAUGGUGCACCCAAGAUGAAGCAUCGUCUCGACCGUCGAUGAAAAGGGUUAUCUUGAUGCUAGAAGGGACGGUUAAUAUACCCGAUCCUCCACUCCUUAGCUCCUUUGUUAGUUCUCCUUAGAUCAUGUUUGUGGCACAAGUUAAGACUUUUAACUUUGCCAAGCGUAAAAACCAUAGUGUCCAUGCUUAUAUAGUUGUGAAUUACACUGAUGAAUCACAGCAGGUAUAUACAUAUUUAUAUAUGUAUAUAUUAUCAGCCUGAUGAAAUUUACAGUGUAAUCAAUAAAUUUUUCUAUAAUAUUAGAACAGAGGAAGAUGUUUAGAUUUUGAAUCUUGAAUUUAUUUAAUCCUUCUUAAGAGAUAAGAAUAUAUCUUCAGUUAAUUCGGUUUUUAUAUAUCAAGAAUCUAAUGAACCAACUAAACUAAUAUAAUUGAAUUAACCAAACUGAGUUGAAUGCUAUUAUUUUCCUAUUUAUGGGUGAGGAAGAGAUUAUAAAUAAUUCUAAGCAUAUUUUAAAUUAAUCAUUGAUCUUCGAAAUAUUCUAAUUAAAUCUUUAACCUAUCGCAAUUGUUAAAUUACGUUAUUGCCUUUAAUAUAUAUUAUUAACCCAAAUCCAAACAUAAUUAUUGAGUCAAGCUUGAACUUAAGAACAAAUAUUGGCAAACAAGCUUAAUCGAGCUUGAGUAGCUCGGUUUUAUCUUGAAUAGAGCUCGAGCUUAGAAAUAGAUGUUCGAUCGAGCUUGAGGCAUGUAUCGAGCUCUGAAUUUCGAGUCAAGCUCACUGCUUGAUUUCACCCCUAUGUCAGAUCCCAUUUAGAUCCAACAUGAAUCAUAAUUUUAAACAUGUGGAUCAAAUUAUAAAUACGUGUAUUUAUAUGAACAAUUUGGAUCUAAUUGUUAAAAACAGUGUAAAUAAUUUUAUAUUUGUAUAAAAUAUCGUAAUAUUUUUUGUUCGGAGAACAAAUUAAAUUAAAAUAUAAUAAAACAAGUCAAUUGGUAAUUAUUUGACCAUGCACUUAAAAUUCCAUUUGUUUGCAUUUCUUUUUCUUGGAAUCUAAUUUGUUUAUGCUUACCAAUAGCCUGACUCUUUGUGCAUUUGUUUGCUGUCUGAAUGUCAAUUCAUUUAGGCUGUUUUUGUGUAUUUUUGUUCGGGUGUAAAUGAGAUACCGGUAUUCGUAAAUUAUUUGAGUUCAAUUUGAAAAAAUUCGAAUUGAAUUCGGCAAUUAUCGAGUUUAGCUUGAGGUAUCAAUCGAGCUGAAUUCAAGUUUAGUAUUAAUUUGUUCAAUUAGAUUAAUCUAAUUAAUUGAAUCAUGAACCAGGGGCGGCGUCGGGGGGUUGGCAAGGGCCUUGCCCCCCAAAAUGGGAAAUUUUGACUUUUGACCCUUUACAAUUUAUAAAAUUUUAAGUUAGUAUAGGUAAAGUUACACUUUGACACCCAAAAUGACAAAAUUUUGAUUUAAUCCUUUAGAAUUAUAAACAUAUGGACUAUUAAAAUGAAAAAAAAAAUUACAUUUUAACUUUCAUAAAAAUAUACAAUUUAAUUUCGACUCUUCUAAAAAAAAUUUUCUAGCUUCAUCUCUACUGUAAAUUAAUAGUUUAACUGAUCUGAUUACAAAUUCGAUUUCGAAAAUCUUGAUCGUGUGGCAUGUAAAGGUUCUCAAAGCAUGAAACAUGGAUAAAAAAUGACUUCCAUGCAUACUUUUGGGAUUAAUAUGUAUAUAUAAUGAACUUAAUUAGUGGGAUAUUUGUGCUUUGACUAAUGUAUAUAUUUGGUGUUUUGAACAUACAUAUCUGCCUAUGAUUAUUUUUAAUGUAUAUGUUGUGUGGUUGGAAUUGAAUCGAUUCGGUUGGUUAGAUCGGAAAUUGGUUAAAAAUAUUAUUUUUAAAAUUUAAAAAAAAAAUAUUUUAAAAAAAUGAUUUUUAUAGAUAUCCGAUCACACUUAGUUAAAAAGAUCAUUAGUGUAUAGUAAUACUAUGAAUGAACCAAUAUUGAAUAUUGGUAACAAUAUCAGCAAAAGAACGUUCUUCUGUGUUUCCAGACAUGCCGAGCUCCACAUAUUCUUGUAGGGGAUCGAUUCUGUAAAAGAUGGGAUCAGUAAACGGGAAUUCAUCGAAAUUCAAUCUUUGUGAGAUUGUUAAUAUUGUACCAAAUGUAUUUUUAGAGUAUACCGAAUCAGUAUAGCUAUCCUUCCUCGGACACAACAACACAAUUUCAAAUAGUGAUAAUUGCUUUUUUAAUAAAAAUCUUGUGUUUUAAAAGUUAAAUUGUUCAUAUAUUUUUAAAUUAUUAAUCUAAUUUGACCACUGAUCAAGAUAAGAAAACCUUAACGAUUAGUAUGGAGAACUACAUUGUUACUAUAAUGGCUUUUUUAGAACGCCAAUGCGAUACAAACAUCAAUGGAUGCACAGCAUAAGUCAGCCAAACGUUGCUUUACACUACAAUUAAGAGAAGAAAAAAAGGAGAGGGAAAAAAAAGGCUGUCUCGAGUUUGAACUUAUGACCAAAAUUUUCAGAAUCGGAUCAACGAUCAAAUUGGUCUAGUUAUUAAUUUUAUUGGUUUGUAUGGUUUGAUUAAAUAAAUUAUUGAAAAAUUUAAAAUAAAAAUAAAAAUUCCUAUUCAACCUGUGUUUUGCCUAGCUCAACCAAUUUGUACUUAUUCCCAGGUCAACCAGUCUAAUAACUUUUUUCCGGACCGGUGAUCAAUUGCUUAGGCUACUAGUUCGUUGGUCCAAUCAAUUCGAUUAAAUAAAUCAUUAAAGAUAAAACAAAAUAAAUCCAUUCAACCAGUUCAAUUGGUUUUUUGCUUGGUAUUACUAAUCCGUACUGGUUCCCAAUUCAACCAGUCUAAUAAAUUUCUUUCGAUCGGUGGUCAAAUUGUUCAAUCCACUAGUUUACUGUCCACUCAAUUCGAUUAAAUAAAUAAUAAAAAUAUUAAAAAUAAAUAUCCGAUUCAACCACCCAAUUCAAUCAAUUUUUUAUUUGAUUUAACUGAUCCAUAUCGAUCCUCAAAUCAACCAAUCUAAUAACUUCCUUCGUUACAUCUUAAUCAAACAUCUUUUUUUUUUAAAUUUAAAUCUCGUUAUAGAUUUUUAUUAUAUCUGAUUUUUUUAUACAAUUCUAAAAUUACUUAUAACCCCUUUUCAACUCUUAAAUAGGAAGACUCGAACCUAUAUCUUUUUAUACUGAAAAUAAUAUCGAUGCUAUUCAAAUAUACUUGUCUAUAAGAACCGAAGACUUGAAAAAAGGGCAGUAGGUUAAUUGACAACAAAUUAGUACCGUUGGUCAACCAAAGAAAAAGACGGUAGAAAAGUCCUUAAUCGUGAACUCAAGGCGUGUAUUUUGUAACGACUUAAAAAGACUUUGAAAGUUCAAAUUCUAUUAUUAGUCCUUGUAAAUUAUGGAUUUAAUCCUUAUUUUAUUUUUUUAUUAAUUUUAGUCUUUAUAUUUUUCGUAUUUUAAAAUUUCAGUCCUAACUUAAAUUACAGCCUUUACAUCGACUAGGUAAAAAUUCUGCUAUUAGUCUUGUUCUAUGCAUAAACAGUGGGUUGAAAUUCCAGUCAUGGUUAAAAACAACCGUCACUAAAUUCAAUAACUAAAAAUGUGGCUUUUUUUGUGUGUGUAUGAAUAUUACGUGAAAAUAACAAUCAGGCAUAACGUUGCACAUAUACUAAUAUAAUUGGCGCAUAAUAUUUUAAAAAUAGUAAAAUAUAACGAUUAUUGUUUGGCCAAGACUAGAAUUUCAAAAUAAAAAAAGUGAAGGUAAAAAACAAGGGUUAAAUAUCAAAUUUAUACACGAACUUUGAUCCAAUAUGUAAUUUAAUACAUGAGUAUUUAUUUAGUGCAUUUAUACACAUGAAACUUGAAUUGUGGUUUAUAUAUAUAUGAAACUUUGAUUUUGAUUCAAUUGUAUACGUUUUAAAAAAUGAAUAUAUAUAAUUAUUUUUAUUUUGGAUUAAUAUAAUUAUUUGUGUAUGUAAUAUAUUAACAUAAAAUUAUGCUAAUUCGAUAAUGUUAUUAGUGGUUCGUGAAAAUUAAUCAAAUUAAAUUUUCAUGUAUAAAAUCACAAAAAAAUAAUGUUCAUGUAUCAAAUUGUACAUUGCAUCAAAAUUCAUGUAUGAUUUUAAUAUUUAUCUCAUCUAAAAAAAGUUUAAGUACAAGGACUAAAUCGAUAAUUUAGACUAAUCCUCCUAAUGCACUAUUGACAAGGGAUCGCAUUUACUGUUUUUCCUUACAAGCACUGCAAAAAAAAAAAAAAAAAGCACAAGCUCUAUCUUCCACUUUAAUGGCGUAUCUUGUUCUUCUUCUUCUUUUGAAUUUUGUAUUUAAUGCAACAAAUGCUCAAUCAACAAGCUCUAUUAUCAAACCAGGUUCUUCUCUUUCACCCAUUAAUAAUUCAUAUUUGCUAUCGCCGUCCGGCCAGUUCGCUUUCGGUUUCUACCGAUACAAAAACGGCUACUCCGUAGGCAUAUGGUUCGAAAACAUCCAGCAGAAAACAAUUGUAUGGACGGCUAACCGAGAUGCCUCGCCGUUCCCUAGCGAUGUCACAUUGGUUUUAACCACCGAAGGUACCCUUAUUGUUCGACAAAAGCAAGGUCAAGACGUACUCAUUGCCGAUACUAGCAGUGAUAACGUGUCACGGUUAGCAACUUCGGCCUCGAUGCUCGAUUCGGGUAACUUUGUUUUGUUGAAUUCGAGUGGUGGGAUCGUAUGGAAGAGUUUUGAUUUCCCGACCGAUACCAUUUUACCAGGACAACGUGUAGCGGUGACCGGUAAGCUCGUUUCGAGUGUUGCCGAGUCGGAUCAUGGUAACGGAAAAUUUCUAAUUCUUAUGCAAAGUGAUGGGGAUUUGGUUCAAUUCCCUGUUGAAGCAGUGGAACUUGGUGCUGCUUAUUGGGCUACUAACACAUUUAAUGCUGGAUAUGGUGUGAGCUUGAAUCUUGAUGGUAAUGGUCACCUAUAUUUGUUAAAUGAUACCGGGUUCAACAUCAAAAGUAUUAAUAAGAACUACGUUAAUGCCUCGGGUAAGUCCGUGUAUCGUGCAACAAUCGAUACGGAUGGUAUAUUUCGAUUGUACUCACAUAGUUCUAACCGAUUUGAUGAUUGGUACACCGAAUGGUCAUCCUCUAAUGAUAGAUGUAAUCCUUUGGGCUUGUGCGGUGAGAAUAGUUAUUGUGUUAUGAUGGAUGGGGAACCCAUUUGUCGAUGUCCUCCUCAUUUCAAUUUUAUCAACGAGAAGCGACAGGAAUUGGGUUGCCGAAAGAACUAUAGUUUAGUUGCUUGUGACACAAGAAAUGACCAAACUUUUGAUUUUCUUGAGGUGAAUGAUGUGUCUUGGAAAGAUGAUGCGUAUUUGAGUCUCUCGUCGAUGACAAAGAACAGUUGUAGGGUCGAGUGUUAUCGAGAUUGUAGUUGCGAAGCCGCUGUCUUAGAGAACGAGUCGUGUAAAAUGAUGAAGUUGCCGUUUAGGUUUGGGAAAAGAGUAUUAAGUGGUCAAGUUACUGCAUUUUUAAAGAUUGGUGGAGAACUUGCUGGUGUUGGGACAAGGAAAAGGAAAAGGAAGCUAAGAAUGGAUAUGUUAAUCAUUAGUGUUGCCAUGGCAUGCUUGACGCUUGGGUUUCUAGUUGUAGCAACGAUCGGCGUUCGAAAGCAUCGUGCUCAUGUUCGAAAAUACAAGCGUGUUUUGCGUUUGGUAAACAAUCGAGUUGCUGAAGAUGUUGCCUUGAAAUCAUUUUCCUUCGAGGAGCUUAAAGAUGCAACCAACAAUUUUGUGGACGUGAUCGGUAAAGGAGCUUACGGGACGGUUUUCAAAGGGGUGAUAUUCGAUGGCGAAAGAACAGUAGCCGUCAAGAGACUGGAAAAAGUGGUGGCCGAAGGUGAAAGCGAUUUCCUGAAUGAAAUGAAAGCCAUCGGGAAAACACAUCACAAGAACCUCGUUCGAUUGCUCGGUUAUUGCUACGACGGGACUAAUAGGCUUCUGGUUUACGA
rnacentral:lncRNA from 1 species